GUUUACGGCCAUACCACCUUAGGCACGCCCGAUCUCGUCUGAUCUCGGAAGCUAAGCAGGGUCGGGCCUGGUUAGUACAUGGAUGGGUGACUGCCUGGGAAUACCAGGUGCUGUAAGCA
rnacentral:rRNA from 10 species